UACGUAGGGGGCAAGCGUUGUCCGGAAUUAUUGGGCGUAAAGGGCUCGUAGGCGGUUUGUCGCGUCGGGAGUGAAAACUCAGGGCUUAACCCUGAGCCUGCUUCCGAUACGGGCAGACUAGAGGUAUGCAGGGGAGAACGGAAUUCCUGGUGUAGCGGUGAAAUGCGCAGAUAUCAGGAGGAACACCGGUGGCGAAGGCGGUUCUCUGGGCCUUACCUGACGCUGAGGAGCGAAAGCGUGGGGAGCAAACAGG
rnacentral:rRNA from 1 species